rnacentral:rRNA from 1 species
UACGUAGGGCGCAAGCGUUGUCCGGAAUUAUUGGGCGUAAAGAGCUCGUAGGCGGCCUAUUGCGUCCGCUGUGAAAUCCCAGGGCUUAACCCUGGGCCUGCAGUGGAUACGGGGUAGGCUGGAGGCAGGCAGGGGGAGAACGGAAUUCCCGGUGUGAGCGGGUGAAAUGCGCAGAUAUCGGGAGGAACACCGGUGGCGAAGGCGGGUUCUGCUGGGCCUGUACUGACGCUGAGGCACGAAAGCGUGGGGAGCAAACAGGGA